rnacentral:rRNA from 1 species
GAUGAACGCUGGCGGCGUGCUUAACACAUGCAAGUCGAGCGAGAGAGUUCCUUCGGGAACAAUCUAGCGGCGGACGGGUGAGUAACACGUGGGCAACCUGCCUCAUAGAGGGGAAUAGCCUUCCGAAAGGGAGAUUAAUACCGCAUAAUAUCAUUGGAUGGCAUCAUUUAAUGAUCAAAGGAGUAAUCCGCUAUGAGAUGGGCCCGCGGCGCAUUAGCUAGUUGGUGAGGUAACGGCUCACCAAGGCGACGAUGCGUAGCCGACCUGAGAGGGUGAUCGGCCACAUUGGGACUGAGACACGGCCCAGACUCCUACGGGAGGCAGCAGUGGGGAAUAUUGCACAAUGGGGGAAACCCUGAUGCAGCAACGCCGCGUGAGUGAUGAAGGUCUUCGGAUUGUAAAGCUCUGUCUUCAGGGACGAUAAUGACGGUACCUGAGGAGGAAGCCACGGCUAACUACGUGCCAGCCGCCGCGGUAACAC